AAUGUAGGCGGUUUUGCAAGUCAGAGGUGAAAUCCCUCAGCUUAACUGAGGAAGUGCCUUUGAAACUGCAUAACUAGAGGACAGGAGAGGAAAGUGGAAUUCCCGGUGUAGCGGUGGAAUGCGUAGAUAUCGGGAGGAACACCAGAGGCGAAGGCGGCUUUCUGGACUGAUCCUGACGCUGAGAUUCGAAAGCUAGGGGAGCAAACA
rnacentral:rRNA from 1 species